rnacentral:rRNA from 1 species
CGUAGGUUGCGAGCGUUAUUCGGAUUUACAGGGCGUAAAGGGCGCGUAGGCGGUCGUGACAAGUCACUUGUGAAAUCUCCGGGCUUAACUCGGAACGGUCAAGUGAUACUGUCGGACUAGAGUACAGAAGGGGCAACUGGAAUUCUCGGUGUAGCGGUGAAAUGCGUAGAUAUCGAGAGGAACACCUGCGGCGAAGGCGGGUUGCUGGGCUGAUACUGACGCUGAGGCGCGAAAGCCAGGGGGAGCGAACGGGAUUAGAUACCCCGGUAGUCCUGGCCUUAAACGAUGAAUGCUUGGUGUCUCGGGUUAUAAAGUCCCGGGGUGCCGUCGCUAACGCUUUUAGCAUUCCGCCUGGGGAGUACGGUCGCAAGACUG